ensembl:lncRNA
AUGGCAAGACAGCAGUCAGUGGAAAAUGGAGACACACACCCUGUGAAGUGAAGUGAGCUCAGGAGACUGAUGUCAAAAAAAAAUCCCCAGGGGCCAGCCCCACGGUGCAGUGGUUAAGUUCACAUGUUCUGCUUUGGUGGCCCAGGGUUCGCCAGUUCAGAUCCCGGGUGCGGACGUGGCACCGCUUGGCAAGCCAUGCUGUGGUAGGCGUCCCACAUAUAAAGUAGGGGAAGAUGGGCACAGAUGUUAGCUCAGGGCCAGUCUUCCUCAGCAAAAGAGGGGAGGAUUGGCCACAGAUGUUAGUUCAGGUCAAAUCUUCCUCAAAAAAUAAAACGAAAUAAAAUAAGCUUUAAAAACAAACAAACAAACAAAAAACCCCCAAACUUUCUUGUAUGACCCCACGGCUGGAAAUUUAUGUUAAAUCCAGCCUCAAAUGAUACAUGAUUUAUUAAGAAACUAGAGCGUCUCCAGGAAGGGGUGAGGUGGACUAGGGCAGAUACCCUUGGCCAAUUUGGGCCCCCACUCCUUCCCCUGUUAGCCUUAUCUUCAGAGACAGGAUUUGCUGUCGUGGAGCUGCUGUCGUGGAGCUGGCUACCAGGAGGGCCCUGAAACCUCUGGUCAAGGCCACAAGCUACAAGAAAGGAGCAACGUUUGCAGGGAGGGCAGCCCCAGGGACAAGAGAGGAGGAUGUCAAACUGUGGUAUCGUGGCAUCACUGGUACAGAGCGGGGGCAGUGGAAAGAGGCGAGUACCAGCUCUGGGAUCCUGUGAACUGGGCAGAGUGGGUGAGAUGGAAUCCACGAUGCACUUAGCAGACUGCAGGUACCCAGCGGAGGUUGGCAGGCUUCACACUGCCCACACCUGAAGAGCCCUCUCAUUUGACAUCCCAAAUCCCCGGGCCACUCGUCGCUGUGCCUGGAGGUUGAGGUGAUUUUUCAGCUGCAUAGUGAAGCUUUUCCACAGGGCGAGACCCCCGGCCCCAGGCCCUUGCCUCUUUGGUACAGGUGACCUCUGGAGCCCACACAAUGGAUGUGAUGCUGUGAACUUGCUGUUCGCCAGCUGUCUGGAAUCAGACCAACCCAGCAGGCCUAUUCUCACCUCACAUGCUAGGACUCGUGACACUGAAGUGCAGGACUCUCUCAAGUGCUCUGGCAACUUCUCCAAGGACAUGCAAAGUGCCACAGUCCUCUGGGCCUAUAGCCUGACCUGAAGCAUGCGUUUCUGCAGAGCUUCACGGAAAGGGCAUCUCUGAUGAUGGGAAUGCAGCAGUGUGACUGUGUGCUCAUAAAGUAUGGGCCAUCACAGGGUCUUUCCUCAAGCAUCCUUUCUAUUCUUGUGAGAUGAGUAGGGUGGGGUCAAGAUGAUCCCCUACUGGAGGAAACCCCGUGAUUUCAGGGAAGAAGGGCCUAGAGAGACCUGGAGGUGCAUGGGACUCUGAGCACUGAGAAGGGAACAGAGGGGUAGGAGUCUCAGUAGUUCUCAGGGUCUUAGAUGAGACGUGGAAGGAAAGACCACGAGGCUGGAUACAGAGUGGAUUCUGCCAUGGAGAACACGGGACCUGCGGUUAUUGCUACAGGUGAGUGGACAGACAGGGGCGCCCACGGCCCGGGGGCCUGCCUGGGCCUAGCUCUGACUCUGUGGGGACCACUGGAUCCUGGAUCAUCGGAGCCACAGGGGCUAGAGAGCCCAUGGCAUCCAACCCAUUACACUGAAAGGAAGACCGAGGUCUGGAGGAGAAAAGGGCAUGUCCUGGGUCACCUGGUGUAUCAAGGUAGGGUCCAGUCUCCAACCAGGGUCCAGAGCCUUUCCCGUCCAGGCACAGGCAGGUCAAAUGCAGCAGACAGUGCUCUAUCUGGGGCUGGGGACAGGGAAGGGCCUCUAGAGAGACCAUGUGGUGCCCCUGCUUUAUUUCUCAGAUAAUGAAAUGAGUGUCGGAGAGGGGCAGGGACUCGCCUGUGGUCAGACAGCCAGUGAGCU